rnacentral:rRNA from 1 species
UGUGGUGUUCGGGAGGGUCCAUUAUCCCGAGAUUAUGCGGUGCGUCCAAGUCCUUCUUGAACGGGGCCACAGCCCAUAGAGGGUGCCAGGCCCGUAGCGACCGCCGCUGAUCGCGGGAGGAUCUCUCCUUAGAGUCGGGUUGCUUGAGAGUGCAGCCCUAAGUGGGUGGUAAACUCCAUCUAAGGCUAAAUAUGACCACGAGACCGAUAGCGAACAAGUACCGUGAGGGAAAGUUGAAAAGCACUUUGAAGAGAGAGUUCAAGAGUACGUGAAACCGUUUAGGGGUAAACCUGAGAAACCCGAAAGGUCGAAGGGAGAAAUUCAUUCGCGUUUCGUGGCAGGCGUUAGGCGGUCGCGUGACGGAAAUGCGUUCGCGUAUUUCCGCGCCUUCCGUUUAUCGAACCGGCUACGAACGCGUGCACUUUUCUCCUGGUAGGACGUCGCGAUCCGUUGGGUGUCGGUCUACGGCUCGCGGUGGAGCCCGUUUGUACCACGUGUGCGAGCGGACCCGCGUGACCCGGCCGACUCGCUCGACGGUAUACGAAAGGUUUAAGGCCGCUCUCGGAGCGUUCGACUCGUGGCAAGCGCGCCAGAUGCGUCGGCGAUCGGACCCAGUGCCGAUUCUGACCUCUGGUGACUGUUGGCUACGAAUGUCUCGGACAGACCUUAAAGACCGAUCUGCGACGCUAUAGCUUUGGGUACUUUCAGGACCCGUCUUGAAACACGGACCAAGGAGUCUAGCAUGUGCGCGAGUCAUUGGGAAUCACUAAACCUAAAGGCGCAAUGAAAGUAAAGGUCUUCCUCGCGGAGACUGAGGGAAGACGGGCGGUUUACCCUUAAAAGUGGCCGCUCCGCAUUCCCGGGGCGUCUCGUUCUCAUUGCGAGAAGAGGCGCACCAUGAGCGUACACGCUGGGACCCGAAAGAUGGUG